CCCCAGAUGUUGCUGAACUACAACUCCCAUGAUUCUCUGGCUAUCUAUGUAAUUCAAAGAAUCAUUGGGAGUUGUAGUUCAGCAACAUCUGGGG
rnacentral:miRNA from 1 species